AAGUCGUAACAAGGUUUCCGUAGGUGAACCUGCGGAAGGAUCAUUACCGAGUUAUGGGUGCCUUAAGGCCCCAACUCCCACCCCAUGUGUACCUCUCAACCGUUGCUUCGGUGGGCCAGGACCGCUCGCGCGGUCCCGUCGGCUUCGGCUGGCGAGCGCCCGCCGGAGGGCAUCGAACUCAUGUUAAUUGUGUCGUCUGAGUGGCAUUAGCAAUAAAAUCAAAA
rnacentral:misc_RNA from 1 species